rnacentral:rRNA from 1 species
AUAAUCAGUUGUCUUAUAAUUGAAGACUGGAAUGAAUGGUUAAACGAAAUUAGAGCUGUUUCAUUUGUAUUUAUUAGAAAUUGGCUUUUAAAUGAAGAGAUUUAAAUUUGAUUAAGGGACAAGAAGACCCUAUUGAGCUUAAAAUAAUUUUAAGGGUUAAAGUUAUUAUAAAGAUCUAUGAUCUUUAGUAUUUUUUUAGUUGGGGCGACUAAGGAACAGGCGAAGCUUCCUUUAUUUAUUUAAUUGAUAGAUUUUGAUCCUGUAUUACUGAUUAAGAGAAAUAGUUACCAUAGGGAUAACAGCAUAAUCUUCUUGGAGAGUUCUUAUUAAAAAGGGGGGUUGUGACCUCGAUGUUGGACUAAAAUAUCCUAAGGGUGUAGAAGCUUUUAAGGGUUGGUCUGUUCGACCAUUAAAAUUUUACGUGAUCUGA